UACGAAGGGGGCUAGCGUUGUUCGGAAUCACUGGGCGUAAAGCGCACGUAGGCGGAUUUUUAAGUCAGGGGUGAAAUCCCAAGGCUCAACCUUGGAACUGCCUUUGAUACUGGGGAUCUCGAGUCCGGAAGAGGUGAGUGGAACUGCGAGUGUAGAGGUGAAAUUCGUAGAUAUUCGCAAGAACACCAGUGGCGAAGGCGGACUCACUGGUCCGGUACUGACGCUGAGGUGCGAAAGCGUGGGGAGCAAACAGGAUAGAUAC
rnacentral:rRNA from 1 species